rnacentral:lncRNA from 10 species
UAAUAUCCCACGCCUACACUCUGGGAUAACUCAGCUCUUACAGGCAGUAAUCAUGGGUCAGACCUGCCAUUAUCCAGUUCAGCCCAUUUCAUUUGACAGACACCUGGUGAAUAGAGACAUGCAGGGACUCUUGUCCACAUUUGCCCAGUUGGCUGAUAGCACAGUGUACAAAGUCUGUCUGCAGCAGGUCAUAAUUUCACAGCUCUGCCACAUGCAUGUAUAUCACUGUACCAAGCGUGUUCACAUGGUAUGGUGCUGACACAUGUUGACGGAAUGUGGUACAGACCCUCUGUGUGAAGUGUGUUCACACAGUGCGGUGCUGACCCUCUGUAUGAAGCGUGUUCACACGGUGCGGUGCUGACUCUCUGUAUGAAGCGUGUUCACCUGGUGCAGGACAGACUCUCUGCAUGAAGCAUGUUCACACAGUGCGGUGCUGACCCGACCCUCUGUAUGAAGCAUGUUCACACGGUGCAGUGCUGACUCUCUGUAUGACACAUGUUCACACAGUGAGGUGCUGAUCUUCUGUAUGAAGCAUGUUCACAUGGUGCAGUACUGACUCUCUGUUUGAAGUGUGUUCACAUGGUGCAGUGCUGACCUGUAUGAAGGAUGUUCACGCGGUGCGGUGCUGACUCUCUGUAUAACACAUGUUCACGCAGUGAGGUGCUGAUCUUCUGUAUGAAGCAUGUUCACACAGUGCAGUGCUGACUCUCUGUAUGAAGUGUGUUCACACGGUGCAUUGCUGACCUUCUGUAUGAAGUGUGUUCACACAGUGAGGUGCUGAUCUUCUGUAUGAAGCAUGUUCACACGGUGCAGUACUGACUCUCUGUAUGAAGUGUGUUCACACGGUGCGGUGCUGACUCUCUGUAUGAAGCGUGUUCACACAGUGCGGUGCUGACUCUCUGUAUGAAGCAUGUUCACACGGUGCGGUGCUGACUCUCUGUAUGAAGUGUGUUCACCUGGUGCAGUACAGGCUCUCUGCAUGAAGCAUGUUCACACAGUGCGGUGCUGACCCUCUGUAUGAAGCGUGUUCACACAGUGCAUGUGAAACCAGAACCGACAGUCGAACCCAAGCAGAAGUCUUGACCAAGCACUUCCCUCCUGGGAAUGCACCAUGAUAUCACCACACCGAAGUCCAGGCUGGCAAAUAGGGACAUUUAAGUGACAUUUAAGCUCGUGGUGGCCCUAUGAGGAGUCAUUGCUGACUGAGAUGGGAUUUUAAGGUGUUGCCUGCCUGUGUGUUCUCAGACCCUCUCCUGAAGCCCC